rnacentral:lncRNA from 1 species
CAUAUGGAGGUUCCCAGGCUAGGGGUCUAAUCGGAGCUGUAGCAGCCAGCCUGUGCCACAGCAACAAUGCCAGAUCCGAGCUGCAUCUAUGACCUACAUCACAGCUCAGGGCAACACCGGAUCCUUAACCCACUGAGCAAGGCCAAGGAUCAAACCUGCAGCUUCACAGUUCCUCGUCAGAUUCAUUUCCCUUGCACCACAAUGGGAACUCCUCCUUCUAAUUUCUAUAUCCUCUUCUUUGGCUAUCUAUUCAGUCCCAUAGUUUCAAACUAUUGUGUAGCCUCUCCUUUAAAUUAUUGUUCUUUAUUUUCCAUUUGUCCUAUGUAGCCCUACAUGAAUAUCCUAUAUUAAUUCAUCUCAAUAUAGCUAAAAUCUGUCUCAUUAUCCAUACCUUCCAAACUUGCUCUUCCUUACUCGUUCCCAAUCUUUAUGAAUGGUAUUUGCAUAAUCUCCAACACCAAGGCUCAAAAUCUUAGUGCAGCAGUUCUCAAAAGGAAAGAUACUCUCCUAAGGGGCAUUUUGGACAUUUGUGGUGUGUCAUCAUAGCCUUUUGGGUUGUGGUCGUCGUGAGAAUUGAGGGUUACCAGUACCACUUGUGUAGGGACCAGAGAUGCUACACAUGAUGUAGAUCAGGGUUCCCAUGUCCCCCCAAGAUUGUUUCACACCAUGUAUGAAUUUUAGAUAUCCUAAACAUUCAGAUAGGUAAAAAACUGUUCUGUUUGAAAUUCCUUCAACCUUGAAUCAAGCUCUGUUUUACAUUAAGCAUGAAGAAUUUUUGGCAGUUUCAAUACAUGGUAAAUUUCCAGAAAUUCAUACACCAUGUAAAUUGUCCUUUUUCCUGAACAUGCCAAAAUGUUUUCGUCAUUACAGAAAAUUAUAUUCCUGUUGGCAACACAGCUCAGUGUUUGAGUCACCAAUACAUAACUACUCUGUAAGUCAGCAUUUGUAGCUGUUAUAUUCAUAGUGAUUAUUCAUAUGGGUGCAAACAUCUGUAGAAUCAUUUUACUCAUUUAUUCAUUCAUUCAUCCACCUAUUCAAGGCAUAACAACCCUCUUAUGCCUUCCCAAAUUAAUCAUGCUGUGGUUUAUAUACUGAAGUACAUUUUUCUAAAAUUAGUUUUCUUUUGGAGUUCUCUUGAUAAAGAAAAGGGAGUUAUUAGUAAUAUUUUUAUAUACAAGGAAUUAAAAAGUGUUAGCGUAUUCUCUAAAUUCUUCCUCUACUUCAUCUACUAACAUAAAAACAUUUGCCAAAUUCUAUGCUUUUUACUUCAUAAAUAUUCUUAAGUAUUUUUUGUGGAUGACUCUAUCUCAAUGUGUAUGCUCUUAAUCUCAGCGCUCAGUGGCUUCUUAAUUAAUCUGCUUUUCUUGAAAGAUAUUAUGCAAAUAUGUGUUAACAUAUAUAUGUCAGACUGACAAACUCAUAUUUUAUCUUUUCACUUAUUAGCUAUAUCUUUAUUUUUUAUAUUAAAAAGAAUAAUUCCUGCCUAGCGAUAAUGAUGUUGUUAGAAAUCAAUAGAGAAAUAUACAAUGUGUAUAAUGCAUAAUAAUAAAUAUUCACUUAACAUUAGUUUCUUCUCCUAGUUCUAUUACAUAUAUAUUAUGAUGAUCAUAAUAUUCUGUAUUAUAAAAUGUUACAUUGAUUGCAAUAUUAAAUAUCAUUGUCAGGCCAUGUGACAUGAUGUUAGGGUUAGAAAAUAUAGUCAACACAAUUGAAAUAUAUCUUUCAAUGUGUGCACUAAAGGCCCAGCUGUGCAUGUACCUACAGUGCAAGUAAUUGAGAACUCCUUCAGUAACGGGUAUUAAAUGACCUCAGGAGAUAAAUCCUCAUUACUUCUUCAAUAAUAUUGCAGAUACAUCUGGUACUGGAUAUGAACAAAAUUUUCUUUCCCAUCCAAGCUGCCAUUUCUACUGAAUGUCAGGAGCUUACUUAUUUUCAACUUAUUUUUUUUUUUUAUGAACUGUAUUUCCAUUCAAUUUCUGUUCACCUGAAAUGGAAAUAUGAAGUACUUAUCUGGAAGCAGGACUUUUCCUGCCUCUUUAUAAAUGGAACUCUUCUGAAAAUUAAUGCAGUACCCUAAGUUAACAGCAGUAAUAUGAAUGUCGAUGUGGAUGCUACAUAAAGGAAUAGGGAACAUAAGUCGUUUUUAUUAUUAGCAUUAUUUGUAAAGCCCAUUUCAGAAGAUUGCUUAUUUCUUCCAGUUGGACUUACUUAUUUUAAAUAUUCACCUGGAAAAUAAGUUGUCAGAAGGUUAAUUCAAAACCACAGUGCUGGCCAGUUUUCUAAGAUGACUUCCUAAAUUGUUAAUAGAUUAGCUCAUUUAUAUCAGGAAUAUUCCCCAAAGGAAAUCAGAAACAGCUAUAGAAAGGAGUUCCCAUUGUGGUGCAGCAGAAAUGAAUCUGACUAGUAUCCAUGAGGUUGUGUGUUCAAUCCCUGGCCUCUCUCAGAUCCAGUGUUGCUGUGAACUGUGGUGUAGGUCUCAGACGCGGCUUGGAUUCCCUGUUGCUGUGGCUGUGACAUAGGUUGACAGCUAUAGCUCUGAUUCACCCCCUAGCCUGGGAACUUCCAUGUGCUGCAGGUGUAGUCCUGAAAAAAAAGAUUAAAAAAAAAAAGAGAGAGAGAGACAUUUUAUGAUAUAUAAAAGCUGAGAGUCACAGCUUACCGUGUUAGACUCAGCAAGCCAACGGUAUAAGAAAUGCUAAAACAUUUUUUUUUUUCAGGCUAAAGGGAAAUUAUGGAUAGUAGUUGGGUUCUUAACCUACUGAGCCACAAUGGGAAUGCCCAAGAAAAGAUGCAUUUUAAAUAUAGUCACUGAUAGCUAAAUAAAUGGAAAAUAUAUACUAUGCCAAGAAAAAAAAGUAUGGCUGUAUUAAAAUUAGAUGAAUUAUACCUCAAAAGAAGAAUUACCAUAUAUGUAUACACACAUAUAUGUACACAUAAACCUAUAUGUAUACAUAUAUAUGCACAAUUCAUGUCUCUAUUUAGUUGUAUGUAUAUAUAAUACACUUGAAAAUGCAUGAAGCGUCUCUCUCUCUCUCUUCAAACAGACUUCAACAUACAUGAAGCAAGAUAUGGAGAGAAAAAUAUCCAUAAUCAUAGUUGGAUAUCUUAGUACCAUUCUUUCAGUAAGUAACUGAUAGAACAUCUAAACUAAAAUUAACCAACUAAAUCUAAUUGAUACAGAAUAUUUCACUGAACAACUACAGAAUGCACAUUCUUUUUAGUGUACACAGAACAUUCACCAAGAUAGACCACCUGCUGGGCCACAAAUAUCUCUCACUAAUUUGAAAACAUUGAUUCUCAAAAUGGAGUUUCUUUGACCAUAAGAUAAUUAAAUCAAUUAAUAUUUAAUAAAUAAAGAUGUCUGAGAUAUAUGGAAAAUCUUUAUUUUUAAAAUAAACAAUACACUUUUAUAUGAAUCAAAGGUCAAUAAAGAAAUGACAAGGGAAAUUAGAAUAUAUAACAAGCUGAAUGAUAAUGAAAAUACAAUAUAUCAAAAUUUGUAGUAGACAGCUAACCCAGUGUUUAGAGGAAAAUUUAUGCUCUAAUUACUUAUAGUAGCAAAAAAAAAAAGGUUUAAAUUCAGUAUUACAAUUGUCCACCAUAAAAUAGGUAAAAAGACAAAAGAAUUCUAAAUCAAGGUCAACAGAAAUAUGAAAUAUAAUAAAAAAUGUGAAAAAAUUUGAACAAAAUCAGUGUCAUAAAAUACAGAUAUAACAGAGGAAAGUAACAAAGGCAAAAGUUUGUCCUUUGAUAAAAUUUAUGCAAUUAAUAAAAGACUAGCUAUGCUGAGAAAGAGCAAAAGAGAAGCAUAUAAAUGAACAAUAUCAAGAAUAAAAUUGUAUUCAUAUAUAGAUCCUACAGAUAUUAAAAGGCUAAUAAGAAUAUUUUAUUAUGAACAACAUGAAUCUAAUUAAGUCGACUUAGAUCAAAUGAACAAAUUGCUUGAACAGUGUAGCUCAGCGAAACCUGACACAAGUUGUUGAAAUAGAGACUAUGAACAACAAGUAUAUAUUAAAAGAUUUGUUAUCAAAACCUUCCCAAAAUGACACUGCAGAUCCACAAGAUAGAUUCUUGUGAAUUCUAUCAAAUACUUAAAGAAAGAAAAAUAGCAAUCUUCACAAUAUAUUUUAGAAGACAGAACACCAGAGAACACUUCCCAAUUUCUUUAUAAGGCCAGCAUAUCUCUGAUAUCAAAAUCUAGCAAAAACAUUUUAGGAAAAAAAAACUACAGACCAGUAUCCCUUAUGAACAUUGCUAUAAAUUUUCUUACUAUAUACUAGCUCUCCAAAUCCCAAAACAAUACAAAUAUAUCAUGGACAAGUUGGUUUUAUCACAGUAAUGCAACUUUUAGGUUUAACUUAAAUAUCAGCAAAUCUCUUCACUACAUUUAACAAAAUAAACUCCCCCCAAACAGCAUCGUCUCAGUAGCUGCCUAAAAAAACUGGGUGAAACCAAAAACAACGUAUAUAUAAUCUCUGUGUAAUGCAGAGCCUGGCACAUGGGGGUGCUUGAUUAAUGUCAGCAGUUGUUGUUAUUAAAAGUGUUGCACUUAUUUUAAUACGACUUUCAAAAUGAAAUCAUAUUUUUAAUGAAGGACCAGCUUUCAAAGAAGCUAAUGAGAAGAGUGAGCGGUAGUUUAAUUCUGAGCGGUAUUAAAGACAAGUACUCUGAUUCAUGGACACUGGCUUUCAGCUCAUGGGUAACAAGAGGAAUCUGCACUUCACUUCAUCCUCACAGCAGCAUCCAAUAUUUUUACAGUGAUUAUUAUGCGCUGGGCCAGGAAGCAUAGAGAAUGUGCUUACCUCAGUGCCUGGCAAAUUGUGUUAGCUGAAUCCGAAUUUACCUCUAGAGCCCAUAAAUGACUAAACUACUUAGGAGAUAUAAACUGAUGAGUGAAAAAAAAAAAAAGCGAAGUAAAAAAAGACAAAAAUCUAAUUAAUAAGAAUUUGCGAAAGAGCACUAUGCAUGUUAUACCCGUUUUCUGUUUUAUGCUCAACAAGGCACUUCAGAAACAUUAUCAGGAUCUUUGUUAAUACUAAGCUGAUUUAAAGCAGAAUUUUUGAAAGCCUUCAAUAUGCUAAUGUG